rnacentral:lncRNA from 1 species
AUGCAUUUAACAUCUGAUCAAGGCAGAAUUUUAUCUUGUGAUAAUCUGUUGCCCAAACACUCUAUGAUUGCUGUCCUCCAGGCAGCUCACUGCACAGCACAGCAACCAAUCCAGACAACCAGCUCGAUCCCACAGCCCUUAUACCCCAGGGCCUGGAAGCCGUGGUACCCUGCUGACGAACCAGGACGCCGGUUGAGACACCCUGCUGCAAAGGGCUGGAGCGGCCACGAGAGCUCUGGCAGCAGGUCUGGCAGACGGAAGAUGAUGAACAGCCAGGAGAGAGAUGAAGCUCCUCAUGUCCACAGCCAGCUCAGCUGGAGCCUGAUGGACAAGGGCGAAGUCCUGGCUUCACCAAUGUCAACGCUUGUGUUGACUAAAGGAGAACUUGAAUCCUUCUUAGAAGAGGAGAUGGGGUAAGUGAGAUAUGGAAAGAUAACUAUUUUCAAUGAGACACUUAUAGGAAAUUUUUUUUAUUUUUUUAUUUUUUUUGGUUUUUGGUUUUUGGUUUUUGGUUUUUUUCCUAAGUGUAUGAAUAAUAUUAGAAUAGGCAAGAUGUACAAAACAAUUUUUUUACUAAAACUACUGAAUAGUUUUGAAUGAGAAGAAUAAUGGCUAAGCUAAUGGCCUGACAAUGACUAAGAUAGCUAGCCACUUAAGAAAAUCAUUACAUUGUUUGCUGUAUCAAAAUGAUGUCUUCUGCACUGCCCUACAUAUUUUGCUUUAUCCAAAUUUGCUCUUGGCAAAUGUUUAAAAUUUUGUGUUGAAAAGCUUUCAUUUGCAUUAUUAAACAAUUUGUACAAUUUGGUCUUUAUUUCUAGUACACGCCCUUGAGAGCUGAAUGCUGGCAGGUAGGAGAAGGAAAGUGUUUUCCAUGGAAAAAGAGCUGAGAUAGAUAUCAACAGUCUAAAAGACAUGCAGAAUAGUAGUGCUGUUUCCUCAUGGGGGGCUGCAUCUGUCACGUUAUUUUAUUUCAUAGUAUUGCACUGAAGAGAAGCAUGGAAAAAGUUUCAUUUGAACAGGGUAGCU